GUCCUACGGGAGGCAGCAGUAGGGAAUUUUCGUCAAUGGGCGCAAGCCUGAACGAGCGAUGCCGCGUGAGUGAAGAAGGCCUUCGGGUCGUAAAGCUCUGUUGCGGGGGAAAAAAGGCAGCAUCAGGAAAUGGGUGCUGACUGAUGGUGCCCCGCCAGAAAGUCACGGCUAACUGCGUGCCAGCAGCCGCGGUAAUACGUAGGAUGCGAGCGUUAUCCGGAUUUAUUGGGUUUAAAGGGUGCGCAGGCGGCCUGUUAAGUCAGCGGUAAAAGCCCGGGGCUCAACCCCGGCGAGCCGUUGAAACU
rnacentral:rRNA from 1 species